rnacentral:rRNA from 1 species
UACGGGGGGAGCAAGCGUUGUUCGGAUUUACUGGGCGUAAAGGGCGCGUAGGCGGUCACUACAAGUCAGUUGUGAAAUCUCUGGGCUUAACUCAGAACGGUCAACUGAUACUGUCGGACUAGAGUGCAGAAGGGGCAACUGGAAUUCUCGGUGUAGCGGUGAAAUGCGUAGAUAUCGAGAGGAACACCUGGCGGCGAAGGCGGGUUGCUGGGCUGACACGUGACGCUGGAGGCGCGAAAGCUAGGGAGCGAACGGG